UACGUAGGGGGCAAGCGUUGUCCGGAAUCAUUGGGCGUAAAGAGCGUGUAGGCGGCCAGCUAAGUCCGCUGUGAAAUCUCGAGGCUCAACUUCGAGCUGUCGGUGGAAACUGUCUGGCUAGAGUCCGGAAGAGGAGAAUGGAAUUCCUGGUGUAGCGGUGAAAUGCGCAGAUAUCGGGAAGAACACCCGUGGCGAAGGCGGCUCUCUGGAACGGUACUGACGCUGAGACGCGAAAGCGUGGGGAGCGAACAGG
rnacentral:rRNA from 1 species